rnacentral:rRNA from 1 species
UGAGGAAUAUUGCGCAAUGGGGGAAACCCUGACGCAGCAACGCCGCGUGGAGGAAGAAGGUUUUCGGAUUGUAAACUCCUUAACUGGGGGAAGAGAGAGGACGGUACCCCAGGAGAAGACACGGCUAACUAGGUGCCAGCAGCCGCGGUAAUACCUAGGUGUCGAGCGUUAUCCGGAAUUACUGGGCGUAAAGGGUGCGCAGGCGGUUAUGCAAGUCUGGUGUGAAAGCUCCUGGCUCAACUGGGAGAGGACAUCGGAAACUGCGUGGCUAGAGUGAAUGAGAGGGAGGCGGAAAUCUCGGUGUAGUGGUGGAAUGCGUAGAUAUCGGGAAGAACACCAGAGGCGAAGGCGGCCUCCUGGCAUUUGACUGACGCUGAGGCACGAAAGCGUGGGGAGCAAACAGGAUUAGAUACCCGUGUAGUCC